rnacentral:rRNA from 1 species
AGAGUUUGAUCAUGGCUCAGAACGAACGCUGGCGGCGUGGAUAAGACAUGCAAGUCGAGCGGGAUUUCUUUUGGUAGCAAUACCGAGGGAAAUUCAGCGGCGAACGGGUGCGUAACACGUGGGCAAUCUGUCUUAAAGUGGGGGAUAGCUCGGCGAAAGCCGAAUUAAUACCGCAUGUGAUCAGGGAGGACAUCUUUCCGAAAUCAAAGGUGGCGCAAGCUACCGCUUUUUGAGGGGCCCGCGGCCUAUCAGCUUGUUGGUGAGGUAACGGCUUACCAAGGCUAUGACGGGUAGCUGGUCUGAGAGGACGACCAGUCACACUGGGACUGAGACACGGCCCAGACACCUACGGGUGGCAGCAGUCGAGAAUUUUUGACAAUGGGGGAAACCCUGAUCGAGCGACGCCGCGUGGAGGAUGAAGGUCUUCGGGUUGUAAACUCCUGUCAUUUGGGAACAAGGCGCGUGUAUUAACUGUGCACGCGUUGAUAGUACCAGAAGAGGAAGAGACGGCUAACUCUGUGCCAGCAGCCGCGGUAAUACAGAGGUCUCAAGCGUUGUUCGGAUUCAUUGGGCGUAAAGGGUGUGUAGGUGGCGCGCUAAGUCGGGUGUGAAAUUUCGGAGCUUAACUCCGAAACUGCAUUCGAUACUGGCGUGCUUGAGGACUGGAGAGGAGACUGGAAUUUACGGUGUAGCAGUGAAAUGCGUAGAUAUCGUAAGGAAGACCAGUGGCGAAGGCGGGUCUCUGGACAGUUCCUGACACUGAGACACGAAAGCCAGGGGAGCAAACGGGAUUAGAUACCCCGGUAGUCCUGGCAGUAAACGGUGCACGUUUGGUGUGGGGGGAUUCGACCCCUUCUGCGCCGGAGCUAACGCGUUAAACGUGCCGCCUGGGGAGUACGGUCGCAGAUUAAAACUCAAAGAAAUUGACGGGGCCCGCACAAGCGUUGA